rnacentral:rRNA from 1 species
UACGUAGGGUGCAAGCGUUGUCCGGAAUUAUUGGGCGUAAAGAGCUCGUAGGCGGUUUGUCGCGUCUGCUGUGAAAUCCCGAGGCUCAACCUCGGGCCUGCAGUGGGUACGGGCAGACUAGAGUGCGGUAGGGGAGAUUGGAAUUCCUGGUGUAGCGGUGGAAUGCGCAGAUAUCAGGAGGAACACCGAUGGCGAAGGCGGCUUGCUGGGCCUUACCUGACGCUGAGGAGCGAAAGCGUGGGGAGCAAACAGG